rnacentral:rRNA from 1 species
UACAGAGGUCUCAAGCGUUGUUCGGAUUCAUUGGGCGUAAAGGGUGUGUAGGUGGCGCCGUAAGUCGGGUGUGAAAUUUCGGAGCUUAACUCCGAAACUGCAUUCGAUACUGCGGUGCUUGAGGACUGGAGAGGAGACUGGAAUUCAUGGUGUAGCAGUGAAAUGCGUAGAGAUCAUGAGGAAUACCAGAGGCGAAGGCGGCUACCUGGACAAUUGCUGACGCUCAGGCACGAAAGCGUGGGGAGCAAAAGGG